GAAUCCUGCCUAGCAGAAUGACCAGAGAACUCGUAACGAACUCAAUGGGGACGUGGGGAUUUUUCCCAUCGUCCCUCGACGUCGGGAACGCACGGGCGCCUAGAGCGCUCGAGCUUCUCUUGGCGGCACAACGAACCCCGGCGCGGAACGCGCCAAGAACUUGAACAAGAGAGCGAUGCUCCCAUCACCCCAGACAUGGUGCGUGCGUGGGAUGCCAUGCAAUCUCCUAUUAUUAAUAACGACUCUCGGCAACGGAUAUCUCGGCUCUCGCAUCGAUGAAGAACGUAGCGAACUGCGAUACUUGGUGUGAAUUGCAGAAUCCCGUGAACCAUCGAGUCUUUGAACGCAAGUUGCGCCCGAAGCCAUUCGGUCGAGGGCACGUUUGCCUGGGUGUCACACACGGCGUUGCCCCCAAUCUCUCGCUCUGAAUUGGGUGGGCAGGACUGGGGUGCGUAUGUUGGCCUCCCGUGACGAUUUACUCUCGGUUGGCCCAAAAUCGAGCGCUGGAGCGAUUAGCACCACGACAUUCGGUGGUUGUUUCCCAAUGAUCAAAUGUCAUGCGUGCCGCUCAUGGGAGCGCUCAAUGAAUCUACUCUUUACCCAAC
rnacentral:rRNA from 1 species